rnacentral:rRNA from 2 species
CGCCUGUUUACCAAAAACAUCGCCUCUUGUAAACCACAAAUAAGAGGUCCCGCCUGCCCUGUGACUAUGGGUUCAACGGCCGCGGUAUUUUGACCGUGCAAAGGUAGCGCAAUCACUUGUCCUUUAAAUGAGGACCUGUAUGAAAGGCAUCACGAGGGCUUAGCUGUCUCCUUUUUCAAGUCAAUGAAAUUGAUCUCCCCGUGCAGAAGCGGGGAUUAGAACAUAAGACGAGAAGACCCUAUGGAGCUUUAGAUACAAGACAGAUCAUGUUAAGCACCUCAUAUAAAAGAGCAAACUAAAUGGAACCUGUCUUAAUGUCUUUGGUUGGGGCGACCGCGGGGCAACAAAAAGCCCCCAUGAGGAAUAAAAGUACUCUUUCAAAAACAAGAGCCACAGCUCUAAUGAGCAGAACAUCUGACCUACCAGAUCCGGCAUAGCCGAUCAACGAACCGAGUUACCCUAGGGAUAACAGCGCAAUCCCCUUUUAGAGCCCCUAUCGACAAGGGGGUUUACGACCUCGAUGUUGGAUCAGGACAUCCUAAUGGUGCAACCGCUAUUAAGGGUUCGUUUGUUCAACGAUUAAAGUCCUACGUGAUCUGAGUUCAGACCGG